rnacentral:rRNA from 1 species
CCUACGGGAGGCAGCAGUGGGGGAUAUUGCACAAUGGGGGAAACCCUGAUGCAGCGACGCCGCGUGGGUGAAGAAGCGUCUCGGUACGUAAAGCCCUAUCAGCAGGGAAGAAAAUGACGGUACCUGACUACGACGCCCCGGCUAACUACGUGCCAGCAGCCGCGGUAAUACGUAGGGGGCAAGCGUUAUCCGGAUUUAUUGGGUGUAAAGGGGGCGCAGGCGGGGAUGGAAGCCUGCCGUGAAAUCUUGGGGCCCAACCACGAGAGUGCGGGUGGAACUGGGGGGCUGGAGUGCGCGGAGGGCAGGCGGAAUUCGUGGUGUAGCGGUGAAAUGCGUAGAUAUCACGAAGAACACCGAUGGCGAAGGCAGCCUGCUG